CAAUUGCAUCAUUGAGUAGUUUUAUUUUGUAUUGGCCUGUAAUAAACUACUAUUAUAUUUAACAAUCGCUUGUACUAUAUUUAGUUAUAAUUUUAUAUUUUCAUGUUUAUUUUCUAAGAAUGAUAAUCUGUCAUCUUUCUGGAGAUAGCGUAAUCGAUAUUUCUACAAGUUAUUUCUUUACCAAGAAAAUACCUACAGUAUCGGCGUUAUUGUGAAAGCAUCGACAGCAAAGAAAAUUACGUUUCCCAAUCAGUGGAUCCCUGAAGAAGCGAAAAAGCACGGGCUGGGUGUUUCGUUAAGAGAUCGCGGAAUUGAAGGAGGCGCGAUGUCUCUUCCGUUGGCCCAAAGCAUUCCACCGCACGCCUUUCUUCCGGCCACCCCUGACUUUCUUCUCCACCCUCGUGAGCCCCAGCAUCCUAUCGCAUUUUCUACGAGUUCCAUUUCGAAUUAGGUACAGCUCUUUGUCGAUAAGGAAGAACGACAGUG
rnacentral:misc_RNA from 1 species